AUGCCCGUUGAUGACACAGGUGCCCCGGCGACGACACCGGAUAAAGGUGAAGCUACUGAUCCUUUCAUUAUAGACGAUAAUGGAAACUCUCCAUCUUCGGCAUCAACUGUACGUACAAAAGACUUUCCGUCUAUGUCCCGAACCCCGCAGAAUGCUGAUAUUUCUGGUGAGUCUAUGGAUGCUUUGUCACCAACAAAGUCCGAAGACACGUUUGAGAGUUUCCCGGCAGAGAGCAACAUAGGUAAUGGUGAAGGCAGUCAGGAAAAUGAAGGUAAGCGCAAAAGAAAAAAGUCAAAAUAUUGUCGAUCCCCCUACGACCUUCUCAUUACCCGCAAGAAACGUGUUUAA
rnacentral:rRNA from 1 species